rnacentral:lncRNA from 1 species
AAUUGUUCAACUACUUCAUUAUCAUCAUCAUCAUCAUCAUUAUCAUGUGGUCGACCUUUUUAUUUCAUCUCUUCGAAUGAUGAAGAUGAUCCUGAAGCAUCAUCAUGAAUGCUUGUAUGCUCUCAUGAAAACCUCAUUCACACUUAUUGCAACUCCUCUAAGUAGGGUGACUCAGUUGCCAUGAAAGAAUUUUAGAGAGAGACUUUGGUCAUGGUUUUAUGAUUUCGACU